GACGAACGCUGGCGGCGUGCUUAACACAUGCAAGUCGAACGGAAAGGCCCUGCUUUUGUGGGGUGCUCGAGUGGCGAGCGAGUGAGUCACACGUGAGUAACCUGCCCUUGCCUUUGGGAUAACUUCAGGAAACUGGGGCUACUACCGGAUAGGAGCUCCUGCUGCAUGGUGGGGGUUGGAAAGUUUCGGCGGUUGGGGAUGGACUCGCGGCUUAUCAGCUUGUUGGUGGGGUAGUGGCUUACCAAGGCUUUGACGGGUAGCCGGCCUGAGCGGGUGACCGGCCACAUUGGGACUGAGAUACGGCCCAGACUCCUACGGGAGGCAGCAGUGGGGAAUAUUGCACAAUGGGCGGAAGCCUGAUGCAGCAACGCCGCGUGCGGGAUGACGGCCUUCGGGUUGUAAACCGCUUUCGCCUGUGACGAAGCGUGAGUGACGGUAAUGGGUAAAGAAGCACCGGCUAACUACGUG
rnacentral:rRNA from 1 species